AAAAAAAAAAAUCCUGGGUGUGAGAGAGAGAGGCCAAGAGAAGAUGGCUUCAAGGCUUCAGGUUGCUCUCUCUCUCUUUCUUUUCUUUUUUUUCUUCCUUUCCUU
rnacentral:ribozyme from 1 species